rnacentral:lncRNA from 1 species
UCCUUUGAUAUUAAGCGGAGAGAUCCGGAGAAGGAAAACGUCUAUUUGGCCUCAGGUUGCUAGGGCUCGGGAGGGCAUGGUGGUGCAGCCCAAACCUGACGAUUUCUAAGGUGGCGCUGUCAGUGGAGAGGAAGGGUUUUGUGUAAACUUUCCACAGCCACUAAUAACAUCUCUCGAAGAUCUUUUCCAGCCCUGCUGGGGACUAGCCACAUCUAACUUCACCUUUGAAGGCAAGCUAGAACCCCCUCAAACAGAUGCCACACACCUACCAAUUCUGCAAACUUAUGUGCUCUAAGUUCUUGCUCUAUUUACGCCUUAUUUCCCUGUUUCUGUCAAUAGUUCUCCCAGUCACUUAAAAUCAAACGUAUAGCCUUGUAUCAAAGUAUUUCCUCACAAGAUAUUUACUAGUUACUAAGGGAAAUUUUAUAACUUUACAGAAAUCUGUCAGACAUUACUUUGACCAAGUGAUCAAAGUUAAUAUCACUAGUGAAGGGAAAUUUCUUAGCAGAUUCUCAAUAUAGUGCAAUGAGGAAAGUACAAAAUCACUCCCGCGGUAUUCUUCACAAAAAUGUAAAAGCGGAGGGGCUGGGGCAGAGCACUGGCCUAGCAUGCGUGAGGUACUGGGUUCUAUCCUUAGGACCACAAACAAAAAAUAAGCAAAUAAAAAGUGAGAGCUGAGUUUAAUGCAGAAACAUCAGACAAAUUCAAAAAUGAGAAACAAUCUACAAAAUAAUUGACCAGUAUCUUCAAAAGUACCAAGAUUGGGCUGGGGUUGUGGAUCAGUGGUAGAGCACUUGCCUAGCAUGUGUGAGGCACUGGGUUCCAUCCUUAGCAUUGCAUACAAAAAUAAGCAAAUAAAGGUAUGCUGUCCAUAUAC